CCGCGACCCCAGCUCAGGCGGGACUACCCGCUGAGUUUAAGCAUAUCAAUAAGCG
rnacentral:rRNA from 1 species